GCACUGCUGAAGAGUCCCAUACUAGGACGAAACGGCAGUCCAGUGC
rnacentral:hammerhead_ribozyme from 1 species